rnacentral:tRNA from 1 species
UCCCUGGUGGCUCAGAUGGUAAAGCAUCUGCCUGCAAUGCAGGAGACCUGGGUUCAAUUUCUGGGUUGGGAA